CGGUCGGCGAUGGAAACCGUAUCCAAGGUAAUGCAUAAAAACUUGCCCCCUAAAGGGGGGAGAGAAUGAAUGGUUUGACGGAAAAAAAGCCGGUUGUAAAAAAUAAUCUAAAGAAGUUAACUUUAAGUGAAAAGGCUUAAAGGUUGUUAUAAAAGACGAGAAGACCCCGUCGAGCCUAAAUGAGGAUAGCUUUAUUUUAAAAGAUAGCCAAAAUUUUAUUGGGGCAAUAGAAAAUGAAAAGAAUCAGGUUUUAUAGAAUAAGGAUCCAGUUUGACCGAAAAAAGCAAAACGACCGCGGGGAUAACAGGGUAAAUUUUUUUCUGAGAGUUUCAUAUUUAAGAGAAAGUUUGCCACCUCGAUGGUUGGAUUAAAAUAUUCUUUAUGCUGGCAGCAGGUAUAAUAGUAGGACUGUUCGUCCUUUAAAAUUUU
rnacentral:rRNA from 1 species